GAAAUUUCUGAACUUUUUAGAGCCUAUUUCACUUUACUCUAUGGAAAUGAGAGUAAGAAACUAACGUUAAGAAGGGUUAAUUUCACACAGUCAGACACAUCCUCAAUAUCUAACAUAUAUUUUUUAGAGAUUAAAAUCUUUAAAAAGGCCAGGAAAGCGUCAGAUAUUUCGGACGACGUUUACCUGACGUUUUUUUUUUUUAUUUUCGCGGCCCCAAUUUUCGUUUAUUUUGAUAAUGUAUAUCGAAAGAAGAUAAUUCCGACUACUUCACACAUUAACGCGAAAAAUAGUAAUCGCAAAAUUAUUCAGAAUUAAUAAGUAAUAUAUGUUACUUUACAAUGAAAAUUUGGAUAAAAUAUGAAUUGAUAUUGCAGUUGGCAACGGUGUGUGUUGAAAGUUGGCUCUCUGUGAGUUCCCACGAUGUCAGGCCCAUAGAUCUGAAGUGAUGAGACCGAGAAACAAUGGUCUAUCCCUUAUCAGCUUCAAUUAAUCAAUCAUUUACACAACCAGAAAGGAAUCAUUGUUUAAUAUAGCGACCCAAUUAGACAUAUUUAGUUUAAUGUUAACUAAGGGUCGACUUCAAAUAUUGAUUGCUAUCAAAUGGUUGAUGGUGUGUUAUGAUUGAAAAAUCAACCCCCAGUAAGUAAAACAAAGAACUUAGCAGAUACACAGACUUGUAGGGAAGCAGGGUACAGGGUGUUUACAUGUGUGGGACAACAGACUGAUCACAGUACUGGUGUAUCAAUAACUGCACUGAUUAUACUGUUAUCUUGGGAACAUCAGUCUUUUAUAAUCUUAAUAAUUCUAAUUGGCCAUCCCCUGCGAGAUAAGGACUUAUUGAACAUGAAUAUGAUGUUUCUGUACAUAAGCGGUUAGUACACGGAUAUAAAAUUUCACAUAAUAGAUAGCUCAGAUAAAAGGUUCAAAAGCACCAACUAAAAUAGAAAUGGUUGGCCUCGGGUGCCCUAUGAUGUUUAACUCUAGAUAUAUUAAAUCUUGGCUUGUCUUCUCAGCAUUAAAUUAGAGAAUAUGUGUGUAAUAAACUUUUGAGAUGAUUUCUGAUGUAAAAAUAAUGUCUGCCUACUGAACAAUAGGUCUUGUCGAGUAUCCAAUUUAAAGAACAAAUCGCAUAUACAUUUGAAUUGCUCAAGAUCAAUAUUUUGCUUUUUUUAUACGAGUGAAUUGGGGUUGGAGAGGAUUCUCAUAGCACGUUACAGUGGCCUGUUCGUCUCCAGACGUACGCUUAAAUGAAGGCAGGGUACAUUUGUGGUCCAUCGUAACUUCAAAAUGAAGGUGCCAGAGAGUGGUCAGAGAAACGGAGAGAAAAGAGAACCAUUACCUGUUGAUUGAAGAAGUAAUUAAUUCCACUAAUUAGAAUCCUUGAGACAGAAUCACAGCCUCAGAAUCUCCCCUAUUAAAGUGUUGGCAGCGAUUCUCCUGGAUUCCCCUCCUCUAUUGUACAUAACACAACAGCUGAUCAGGAGAACUGAGUAGACGAUGAUAUCGUCGGGUCAUCGCAGCAGCCCACCUGAGAUAGAAUCGGUCCCACGCCCGAGUGACCCUUGGAUUGAGACAUAUUUCACGAUUCAGUGAUGCCCAUCAGAAUGGUGAUCAAGUACGGUAUGUCCUGCAUUAUCCUGGGAAUAUCCUGGCUGAUCAGUCAAUGCUGAGGCUGGUAACCACUUAUCUGUAGAGGGCACGACUCGAUACUUCCUAGUAUACUACCUGAACCCGUCAGAGAGGAACUGGAAAGGUACACAACUCUCAUCCAUGUACUGUCGGAACCAGAACCAUUCCAUGUAUUAAUACCAUAACAAACCAGAAUGUCAGGUAUCUCUCCGAGUGAGAGAGAUGUGAUGCAAUGAGUAAUGUAAAUAUUUCCCAUUAUAAAUCUCCGUAAGAAUUAUGUUUUCAUUCCUGUGAACUUUAAUAAGUGAAAAAUGAUAAUUGUUCAUUGACGAUAUCUUGGAUAUGAUUUCAACUGUAUCUAUUUCACAGGAAUGUGUCUUUUUAUAUAAAAUCAUCAAAAGGUGAUAGAAGCAAUAACUUGGGACAGACUUAAUAGAAAAAGAGAUCCUCCUCAGCAGUUGUAGGCUAUGGUUUGGUUAAGAAUCAAUUGUUUGGUUUUAGGUGGCUCAUAAUUUGAUUUGAAAAUUUUCUCGGUCAAAUGUGUAUGAUCAUAGUUUAUGAGAUGAGUUAAGACCAAUGCAUGCACAAUGUAUGAAUGAUAUAUCAUAAUGAGAGUUAUAUAGAUUUUUAAGAGAAAUGAAAUGAACCUUUGAAGAUGGAGUACUACCGGGUAUAUGGUUCGUUUAACCCAGGAGGAUGCUAUAAGUUCUUUAAAUUGAAGAACCUACUUAGUUUAGGGAAUAAAAGUUGGGGUAAAAUACAUAAUAUUCUCAUAUUGGACAGAGACACCACAACCUUGUGCAGACACAUCUUCAUAUCAAAACUUAAAUCAUCUUGCAUGGUGCAGACUUUUCUCCCUCCAAUCGAGGAAUCUCCCCCUCUCUAGUUAUUUCAAUGUUCUCCCUUCAACAGCAAUGUUCCAUAUAUCUUAAUAAGAGGACUAUUUUUAAAUCAUGAAAAUAGAAAUGUUUUUUGUCUGAUAUUUUUUCUACUACAACAAGAAGGUUAUCAUCGAUGGCUAGCUCAGAAGGUUUGACUGUCUGGUCCGCAAACCUUUAAACAAACUAGUAAGAAUUGAGGCAAUAGAAACUAAAGAGGAAUACUUUAAAAUAUAACAGUUUUAUCUAUUUUGCUCUGUUGGUCUGAACCAUUUCCAUCAUAUUUUGGGGCCACAAGCUACCUCAAGAUUUGGCAGAAUUAAGUUCUCCCAUACCAUUAAAAAAUGGAGAUAAUCUUUUUAGGUGAAGGUUAUAUUAAAAAGUAAGAAUGCCUAGUCUGAUAGCUUUCUUUGAAAAGUAUCUGAGCUACAUGCAUUCCGGGCUUGGUCCAUGAUAUUUCCUCCUUCCUUAUACAGACAAUGGAGGAAAAAGGGCAAAGCAGGCUGUCUGUGGAAGAUGAGGAAAAGAGUUGUAUUGAGAAAAAAAAGCAACAGGCACAUUGAAGAGACAGAGUAGAAGUUUACAGUCACUCACUCUGUGGAGAUUGCCAAAUGUUCAGAAACAUGUAUUAGAUAUCAUAUAAUACUCUU